rnacentral:rRNA from 1 species
UAGGGAAUCUUCGGCAAUGGACGAAAGUCUGACCGAGCAACGCCGCGUGAGUGAAGAAGGUUUCCGGAUCGUAAAACUCUGUUGUUAGAGAAGAACAAGGACGUUAGUAACUGAACGUCCCCUGACGGUAUCUAACCAGAAAGCCAUGGCUAACUACGUGCCAGCAGCCGCGGUAAUACGUAGGUGGCAAGCGUUGACCGGAUUUAUUAGGCGUAAAGCGAGCGCAGGCGGUUUCUUAAGUCUGAUGUGAAAUCCCCCGGCUCAACCGGGGAGGGACAUUGGAAACUGGGAGACUUGAGUGCAGAAGAGGAGAGUGGAAUUCCAUGUGUAGCGGUGAAAUGCGUAGAUAUAUGGAGGAACACCAGUGGCGAAGGCGGCUAUCUGGUCUGUACCUGACGAUGAGGCUCGAAAGCGUGGGGAGCAAACAGG